GGGUGGUUAGCUCAGUUGGCUAGAGCGUCACGUUGACAUCGUGGAGGUCGUUGGUUCGAGCCCAAUACCACCCACCA
rnacentral:tRNA from 2 species